ACGCUCGACACCUACGGGAGGAGCAGUGGGGAAUAUUGCACAAUGGGGGAAACCCUGAUGCAGCGACGCCGCGUGAAGGAAGAAGUAUCUCGGUAUGUAAACUUCUAUCAGCAGGGAAGAAAAUGACGGUACCUGACUAAGAAGCCCCGGCUAACUACGUGCCANNCGCGAGUAUNGCGGCGNGNGAGAG
rnacentral:rRNA from 1 species